rnacentral:rRNA from 1 species
GCGAACGCUGGCGGCAGGCUUAACACAUGCAAGUCGAGCGGGCAUCCUUGUGGUGUCAGCGGCAGACGGGUGAGUAACGCGUGGGAACGUGCCCUUCGGUUCGGAAUAACUCAGGGAAACUUGAGCUAAUACCGGAUACGUGCGAAAGCAGAAAGGUUUAUCUGCCGAAGGAUCGGCCCGCGUCUGAUUAGCUAGUUGGUGAGGUUACGGCUCACCAAGGCGACGAUCAGUAGCUGGUCUGAGAGGAUGAUCAGCCACACUGGGACUGAGACACGGCCCAGACUCCUACGGGAGGCAGCAGUGGGGAAUAUUGGACAAUGGGGGCAACCCUGAUCCAGCCAUGCCGCGUGAGUGAUGACGGCCUUAGGGUUGUAAAGCUCUUUUCUCCGGGACGAUAAUGACGGUACCGGAGGAAUAAGCCCCGGCUAACUUCGUG